AUUCCCUGAAAAGGGUUGAAGGGACACCUUGUUGAUGGUGCUGUUCCUACAUCAGUCAGGAGCCAAGCAGUUGACAGUCCUUUGUUAAUUCCAGCUUGAUGCCUGGCUUGGUAGCCAAAGCUGUUUUAUGCCUAGGACACAAAA
ensembl:snoRNA LOC120101266 small nucleolar RNA SNORA48